rnacentral:rRNA from 1 species
AGGUACUUCAGCGGGGGAGGAAGGCGUUGAGGUUUAAUAACCUCAGCGAUUGACGUUACCCGCAGAAAGAAGCACUGUCUAACUCCGUGCCAGCAGCGCAGUAAUACGGAGGGUGCAAGCGUUAAUCGGAAUUACUGGGCGUAAAGCGCACGCAGGCGGUCUGUCAAGUCGGAUGUGAAAUCCCCGGGCUCAACCUGGGAACUGCAUUCGAAACUGGCAGGCUAGAGUCUUGUAGAGGGGGGUAGAAUUCCAGGUGUAGCGGUGAAAUGCGUAGAGAUCUGGAGGAAUACCGGUGGCGAAGGCGGCCCCCUGGACAAAGACUGACGCUCAGGUGCGAAAGCGUGGGGAGCAAACAGGAUUAGAUACCCUGGUAGUCCACGCCGUAAACGAUGUCGACUUGGAGGUUGUGCCCUUGAGGCGUGGCUUCCGGAGCUAACGCGUUAAGUCGACCGCCUGGGGAGUACGGCCGCAAGGUUAAAACUCAAAUGAAUUGACGGGGGCCCGCACAAGCGGUGGAGCAUGUGGUUUAAUUCGAUGCAACGCGAAGAACCUUACCUACUCUUGACAUCCAGAGAACUUUCCAGAGAUGGAUUGGUGCCUUCGGGAACUCUGAGACAGGUGCUGCAUGGCUGUCGUCAGCUCGUGUUGUGAAAUGUUGGGUUAAGUCCCGCAACGAGCGCAACCCUUAUCCUUUGUUGCCAGCGGUUAGGCCGGGAACUCAAAGGAGACUGCCAGUGAUAAACUGGAGGAAGGUGGGGAUGACGUCAAGUCAUCAUGGCCCUUACGAGUAGGGCUACACACGUGCUACAAUGGCGCAUACAAAGAGAAGCGACCUCGCGAGAGCAAGCGGACCUCAUAAAGUGCGUCGUAGUCCGGAUUGGAGUCUGCAACUCGACUCCAUGAAGUCGGAAUCGCUAGUAAUCGUAGAUCAGAAUGCUACGGUGAAUACGUUCCCGGGCCUUGUACACACCGCCCGUCACACCAUGGGAGUGGGUUGCAAAAGAAGUAGGUAGCUUAACCUUCGGGAGGGCGCU